rnacentral:misc_RNA from 1 species
GCACACCGACACAGAUCUCGGCAAGGACACCGCUGAUAAGGGGCGAAAGCGAGCACCCGUUGCUUUUGUGCGUUUGCGACCCUUUCGCUGAUUCUCUCCCCCCGCUCUGCAGAGGAGCUCGGUGCGAGGCUUGCGCGUCUUGUUCCCCUUCUUCCGCAUCCACGGCCACACGCGCGCACGCACGCACACACACAGAAACCUCUGCCACCGCUCGCAUUCCUGCCUCUCCUCGCUGGCUUCGCGGCUUGCAAGACGCGAUUGUGGUCCUCUCUUCUCUCCCAUACUCGUCUCUGCAUUCUCAGUGCUCGAAAGGCAGGUCGGGCGCGGAAGGAUGAACGGGCAAACGGCGAUGGAUGAGUUACCGAGCACAGCGCGCCUUUCCUCUGAUCUCUGUGCCACCUUCUCAGAGUACCUGGAGAGCGCAUACCCGCACUCUGGACCCUUAUCGUGGAAUGAGGCUGCCCAGCUACUCAGCGCCUUCACUGGCGUCUCUGUUCACCAUAUAGCAGCUGCACUGGGUUGGGCAGCCGCAUGCGAGAAGGCCGCCGUAUCCAAAGAUGACCUGCAUUCGUCGCUGGAGCAGCUCAUGCGAACCAACGGCUCCAGCGAUGCGUGGUGGGACUCCCCAGGGGUCACCAUGCCGGAGCUCACAGGCGCAGCGGAUCAAGAGUCGAGUGAGGGAGCGGGCUCGACAAAGCAUUGUGGGUGGGAGAGCCUCGCCUCGGUGCGAGCGCGCUCGCACCGACCCCUGCCGCCGGGAUCGACGUCCACGGAGGGGCCGCAUGACAGCAAAAUGGGCGCGUGGUCGGGGCAGCCAUCGCUGCACCCCACACUGAACAGCUGGGGAAGACGAGACAGUAAGCUCUCAGGCACCUGCUCCGUCCCCAGAGUCUUGCCGGACCGGCCACAGAGUACCGCCGCAUCGAUGGAGUGCGUGGUGGCUACAGCGCUGGGAGAGUUGGAUUUGUACGUGGAGGAUGAACAGUGCUCGAUUCAGUUCCACCCAGACCGUCGGUCGCUUCGCUUUCCCAGCGAAGUGACGAACGAGACAGAGCGCUUUGGCAUGGCCGCUGCCCAACACCGGCGAGUCGGGAACCGCUCCCACAGCCCUUCUCCGGUGCCCUUAGCAGACAAACAGGCAGCGUGUCACCCGCGUUCGCCGGUUGCACCCACGACCACCCUGGCGGAGCUGGACCGCUUUGUGCACCGCGGCAAGACCGCAAAGGUGUGUAAGCAGUUCGUGCAGACAGGCCGCUGCACAUUUGGCGCACGUUGCCUGUAUCACCAUCCCACUGCAGUCGCCGCAGCACCGAAUGCGUCGCAUGUCGUCCCGCAACGGCUGCCCUGAGGAUGCGCCGAAGCCAGUUGGCUCUUGCGCCACUGCUGCUGAGCACUUUUCGAGUCUGCGCCGUUCACUGAUUGCCCCGCUUCCCGGCAGCCUGAUGGAGGGUGCACCUUCGCAAUCCGCGUGGGCCUACAUGCUUUCCAUGCAGCCUAUUUCGCCGACCUGCUUGAGCGCGAGACAGGCGGAAGCGGCGGCAAUGACGGAGCGAGAAGAGGAAGGGAGGAGCCGCUCCGUUUCGCUGCCCCGUGUCCCGGGGAUAACUCCAGCCGCGCCGUUGCAUUCGACAGCUCAUCCGUCUGCUGCACCGGCUCCGCGAGGGCAAUACUCGCCGCCUCGGAAGGUGACCUCUGCGCACGAGAUGCCGCGGUCGAACCCUCAACAGCUGCAGAUGUGGGCUCAUGUGUUGUGGACACAUCUCAUCACCACUGCUGCAGCAGCCGCACGCUUUUCGUGGGGGUCCCCGCUCGCAGAGGCACAGCGAGUGCACCGCAGAGGCGAGGGAGAGGAAGGUGCACGACUUCAAGGCCCCUCUGGGUCAGGAUCACAAGGCGUUGCUCCUCACGCAUGUCGACACGCUCUUUUGCUUCGCGCGUGUACACCUCUCCCUAUCCUGGGGGGGGGGCAGACACCCACUUCGCGCCUUGCCCUGCUUCUCCCCCACUUACUCCGCCACUGCGCCUCCACACCUCGACGGCUGGCUCCACCCCUCUUCCUUCUCCCCCUCUCCCCCGUCCACUCCACCGCCCUCCCUUUCCUCCCUCCAUUUUUUUGGUUUCGCAGACGACGCGCAAACACGCAUGUCGGCUACGAAGCGAAACAACCAAAAAGGGGCGGGCGAGAAAGAAGGGCCAGCGUCGCGAACUGGUGGGGAGGAGAGGUGGGAAAGAGCUUCGGAUGCGCUUGUGUUUUCACUCAUGUGAAAGCAAAAGAAAAUAACACACUUUUGCUUUCUUCUUUUCGGUCGCUUGUGUAUGCCCUCUCCCUCUCCCUGCUCCUCUUAUCCGCCUGCCGUUCUCUCUUUGCCGGUGUUUCUUUCAGCCACUGAGCCGCAAGUUCUGCUCUCCACAUCUCCCCAUCGCACUCUCUCGCGUGCCCGUCAUGUCUUCCUCGCUGCUCAUCUAUUUAGCUGUCUAUUCUUUUCCUCCUCUUUUUCCGUCUCUCUCCCUCGCGCGCGCUCCAUUGCUUAUACAGUUAUGCCCUUGAUACGGCUCGUGCAGCGUGAGGCGGGUGGGUGGGUCGGGGGCUGGGUGGCGAAAGGAUGCCGGUCGUGAAGAAGAAAAAGAGUUGCGCAUGCGGCCCCACUCUCCACCAGCUCUCCUUCUUCCUCGCCCUGCCUCCUACGUGCUCUCCAGAGCUGCACUGCUGUUGCCCUCUCACUUUGCUGAGACUGAGAAGGAAAGUGCAGCGCAGAUAAAUGGAUCCCAAGGCGACAGCAAUAACAUGGAAGAAAAAAA